rnacentral:rRNA from 1 species
UACGUAGGGUGCAAGCGUUAAUCGGAAUUACUGGGCGUAAAGCGUGCGCAGGCGGUGAUGUAAGACAGAUGUGAAAUCCCCGGACUCAACCUGGGAACUGCAUUUGUGACUGCAUCGCUGGAGUGCGGCAGAGGGGAUGGAAUUCCGCGUGUAGCAGUGAAUGCGUAGAUAUGCGGAGGAACACCGAUGGCGAAGGCAAUCCCCGUGGCCUGCACUGACGCUCAUGCAC